GCCACAUGAUGUUUCAUUUUGAGAAGUGAGCGCUCUGCGCAGUGCUGACCUUCAUCUAUCACCCUUGACUGAUGGCU
ensembl:snoRNA SNORD83 Small nucleolar RNA SNORD83